rnacentral:tRNA from 2 species
AGACCUGUAAUGUAAUGGUUAGCAUACAAGAUUUUGAUUCUUGGAGUACAGGUUCAAGUCCUGUCAGGUCUU